GGGCCCGCACAAGCGGUGGAGUAUGUGGUUUAAUUCGAUGCAACGCGAAGAACCUUACCAGGGUUUGACAUCCUGCGAAUUUCUGGGAAACCGGAAAGUGCCUUCGGGAACGCAGUGACAGGUGGUGCAUGGCUGUCGUCAGCUCGUGUCGUGAGAUGUUGGGUUAAGUCCCGCAACGAGCGCAACCCACGUCGUUAGUUGCCAGCAUUUUAGUUGGGCACUCUAGCGAGACCGCCGGUGAUAAACCGGAGAAGGUGUGGAUGACGUCAAGUCAUCAUGCCCCUUACAUCUGGGCUACACACGUACUACAAUGCUACGGACAAAGGGCAGCAAACUCGCGAGAGCUAGCAAAUCCCAUAAACGUGGCUC
rnacentral:rRNA from 1 species